rnacentral:rRNA from 1 species
UACAGAGGUCCCAAGCGUUGUUCGGAUUCAUUGGGCGUAAAGGGUGCGUAGGCGGCGCGGUAAGUCGGGUGUGAAAUCUCGGGGCUUAACUUCGAAACUGCAUUCGAUACUGCCGUGCUUGAGGACUGGAGAGGAGACUGGAAUUUACGGUGUAGCGGUGAAAUGCGUAGAUAUGUGGAGGAACACCGAUGGCGAAGGCAGCCCCCUGGGGUAACACUGACGCUCAUGCACGAAAGCGUGGGGAGCAAACAGG